rnacentral:rRNA from 1 species
AGGAUGAACGCUAGCGGCAGGCCUAAUACAUGCAAGUCGAACGGUAAGUAUGAUAGCAAUAUUAUACGAGAGUGACGUACGGGUGCGUAACACGUAUGCAACCUACCCUUUACAGGCGGAUAGCUCGGGGAAACUCGGAAAUUAACCCGUCAUAAUAUAAUUGGAUGCAUCAUUGAUUAUAAACUCGUAGUAAGAUGGGUCAUGCGUCUGAUUAGUUAGUGGGCGGGGUAACGCCCAACAAGACGUAUGAUCAGUAGGGGAACUGUAGAGGUUCGACUCCCCCCA